rnacentral:rRNA from 1 species
AUUGAACGCUGGCGGCAGGCCUAACACAUGCAAGUCGAACGGUAACAGGAAGCAGCUUGCUGCUUCGCUGACGAGUGGCGGACGGGUGAGUAAUGUCUGGGAAGCUGCCUGAUGGAGGGGGAUAACUACUGGAAACGGUAGCUAAUACCGCAUAAUGUCGCAAGACCAAAGAGGGGGACCUUCGGGCCCCUUGCCAUCGGAUGUGCCCAGAUGGGAUUAGCUUGUUGGUGGGGUAACGGCUCACCAAGGCGACGAUCCCUAGCUGGUCUGAGAGGAUGACCAGCCACACUGGAACUGAGACACGGUCCAGACUCCUACGGGAGGCAGCAGUGGGGAAUAUUGCACAAUGGGCGCAAGCCUGAUGCAGCCAUGCCGCGUGUAUGAAGAAGGCCUUCGGGUUGUAAAGUACUUUCAGCGGGGAGGAAGAGAGUCAAGUUAAUACCUUGGCUCAUUGACGUUACCCGCAGAAGAAGCACCGGCUAACUCCGUG